ensembl:snRNA U6 U6 spliceosomal RNA
GUUCUGCGCUCGCUUUGACAGAACAUGCACUAAAAUUAGAAUGAUACAGAGAAGAUUAGCAUGGCCCCUUUGCAAGGAUGACAUGCAAAUUCAUGAAGCGUUCCAUAUUAUU